UACAGAGGGGGCAGGCGUUGUUCGGAAUUACUGGGCGUAAAGGGCGCGUAGGCGGCCUGUUAAGUCGAACGUGAAAUCCCCGGGCUCAACCCGGGAACUGCGUCCGAUACUGGCAGGCUUGAAUCCGGGAGAGGGAUGCGGAAUUCCAGGUGUAGCGGUGAAAUGCGUAGAUAUCAGGAGGAACACCAAUAGCGAAGGCAGCUCGCUGGGACGGUACUGACGCUAAGGCGCGAAAGCGUGGGGAGCGAACAGG
rnacentral:rRNA from 1 species